GUAGGUGAACCUGCGGAAGGAUCAUUAUUGAAUAAACCUGGUGUGGUUGUAGCUGGCUCUCUCGGGGGCAUGUGCUCACACAUCAUCUUUAUAUUUCCACCUGUGCACUUCUUGUAGACCUGUAACACUUUCCGAGAUAACUCGGUCGGGAGGAAUGCUGUGCCUCACAGCCAGCUUUCCUUGUAUGUCCAGGUCUAUGUUUUCGUAUACCCCAAAGAAUGUAAAAGAAUGUAUCAUUGGGCUUUAUGCC
rnacentral:misc_RNA from 1 species